AACGAACGCUGGCGGCAUGCCCAACACAUGCAAGUCGACCGAGAUCUUCGGGUCUAGUGGCGCACGGGUGCGUAACGCGUGGGAAUCUGCCCUUUGGUUCGGAAUAACAGUUGGGAACGACUGCUAAUACCGGAUGAUGACGAAAGUCCAAAGAUUUAUCGCCAGAGGAUGAGCCCGCGUAGGAUUAGCUAGUUGGUGUGGUAAAGGCGCACCAAGGCGACGAUCCUUAGCUGGUCUGAGAGGAUGAUCAGCCACACUGGGACUGAGACACGGCCCAGACUCCUACGGGAGGCAGCAGUGGGGAAUAUUGGACAAUGGGCGAAAGCCUGAUCCAGCAAUGCCGCGUGAGGGAUGAAGGCCUUAGGGUUGUAAAGCUCUUUUACCCGGGAUGAUAAUGACAGUACCGGGAGAAUAAGCUCCGGCUAACUCCGUGCCAGCCGCCGCCGUAA
rnacentral:rRNA from 1 species